GUAUCUCAAACCAUAGACAUGUCUAUGUCUCAAACCCUGUUGCACACCGUUUCCAGGAAACGUCGUUCAACCCGGAAACCGUAGCAAAACGUUGGGCACCGGUGUGAGCCUGAACGUGCCCCAGAAUGACUGAGCAGAUAAUUCAGAGUGAACCGAGGAUUUGACUGCCGGGGCGAAAAACAGCAGCUGAAGAACGGAGCUGAGCCAAAGUAAUCCCUCUGCCACCUUCUGGAAGUAUGGAUCAGCAAUUUUCAUUCCUCCUGGACAACAAACAACUUGAUGUGGUGUCAUAUACAUCCGUGCAAGCUGGAACACUGGGACAGGAUGCAUAGGGGAUGCUGAGCUACUACAACCACAGAGGUUGUAGCAGCACUUUAGGUAUGGUUGCUCCUUUACGCUUAAGGAAGAUUAAGGAAAAGAGUCCAACACCGUGGUAUAAUGAGCACACUCGUGCCCUAAAGAGAGCAGCACAGAAAUUGGAGCGCAGCUGGAGGAAAACAAAACUAGAGGUAUUUCGUAUUGCUUGGCGGGAAAGUACCCUAUCCUACAGAAAAGCAUUAAAAACUGCUAGAUCUGAUUACUUUUUGUCUCUUUUAGAAGAAAACAAACAUAACCCUAGGUAUUUAUUCAAUACAGUGGCUAAAUUAAUACAAAAUAAAGCAUCAGCAGGUGUUCACAUUUCCCAACAGCACAGCAGUAAUGACUUCCAAGAUCGAUACUAUUAGAUAUAAAAUUGUAACCAUGCAGCUGUCAGCUACAGUAUCGCAUCAGAUAGUGCACUAUAGAUCCCCUGAGGAACAAUUCCACUCAUUCUCUACUAUAGGAGAGGAAGAAUUGUAUAAACUUGUUAAAUCAUCUAAACCAACAACAUGUAUGUUAGACCCUAUUCCAUCUAAACUACUAAAAGAGGUGCUUCCAGAAGUCAUAGAUCCUCUUUUGGCUAUUAUUAAUUCGUCAUUGUCUUUAGGAUAUGUCCCCAAAACCUUUAAAUUGGCUGUUAAAUGACCUCUGGGGUCUGAGGUCAUUUUGGGGCCCUUGAGAUGUUUUGACAUGCCCUGAUAUUUGUGCUUAUUUCAGCUACUUAAAACAUACUAUUGACCAACAUGUAAUUUUUUUUGUAUUCAGCACAAACCGUGCUACAAUAAUGUGACCAAGAUGGAUGUACAUGUUUGCAUUUUUUAGAAAAAAAAUAUUAUGCGUGGUUACUAAAUAGUUGUGAAUAAGACUUUUGAGUAAUCAGUAUUGUAGGCUAGAAUAUUUACUUCAAAAUUAUGUGAAAAUCAUUCUGCUUACUCAUUCUCAGAAAACAAUAUAUUGAUUUAAAAUUUUCAAGACAUGUUUUGUGAUCGAGGGUACAUCCGUAUAACACUUAUUUGUGUGACCAAAACCAACAGAGUAUUUUUAGUGUCUUUUGCACUGAUCUUAAAAAAAUGAGUUGGUCUCGCCGGCAAGACAGCCGACCCCAGAGAGUUAAGCCUCUCAUUAAAAAAACACAACUUGACCCCAAAGAUCUUGUUAAUUACAGACCGAUCUCGAAUCUCCCUUUUCUGUCAAAGAUACUAGAAAAGGUACUAUCCUCACAAUUAUAUUCCUUCUUAGAGAAAAAUGUUAUCUGUGAGGAUUUUCAGUCAGGAUUUAGACCGUUUCAUAGCACUGAGACUGCUCUCAUUAGAGUUACAAAUGACCUGCUGUUAUCAUCUGUUUGUGGUUGUUCCUCUCUAUUAGUGCUACUGGAUCUUAGCACUGUGCCGACACUAUCGACCACAACAUUCUUUUGAAUAGACUAGAAAACUUUGUUGGCAUUAGUGGAAGUGCAUUAGCAUGGUUCAAAUCGUACUUAUCUGACCGCCAUAAAUUUGUAGCAGUGAAUGAAGAGGUAUCAUAUCGAUCACAAGUGCAGUAUGGAGAGUACCUCAAGGCUCAGUACUAGGGCCGUUACUUUUCACGCUUUACAUGUUACCCUUAGAAAAUAUCAUCAGGAAACACGGUGUUAGCUUUCACUGUUAUGCUGAUGAUAAUCGGCUCUAUAUUUCUUCGCGGCCCGGUGGAACACACCAAAUUAAGAAACUAACGGAAUGCAUAGUCGAUAUAAAAAAACUGGAUGACGAGUAAUUUCUUAUUGCUAAAUUCUGAAAAAACAGAGGUGUUAAUUAUAGGACCUAAAAUCCCCACAUGUAAUAACUUAGAACACUGUCUAACACUUGAUGGCUGCUCUGUAAAUUCUUCAUCAUCAGGUGUGCUAUUUUCUAAAUGCAGUUUUUAGCAUUUGUAAAACUGCAUUUUUUCAUCUUAAAAAUAUAUCUAAAUUGAGACCUAUGCUCUCAAAGUCAAAUGCAGAAAUGUUAAUUCAUGCAUUUAUGACCUCAAGGUUAGAUUAUUGUAAUGCUUUAUUGGGUGGUUGUUCUGCACGCUUAAUAAACAAACUUCAGAUGGUCCAAAAUGCAGCAUCUAGAGUUCUUACUAGAACCAGGAAGUAUGACCACAUUAGCCCGGUUCUGUCAACACUGCACUGGCUCCCUGUUAAACAUCGUAUAGAUUUGAAAAUCUUGUUAAUUACUUAUAAAGCCCUGAAUGGUUUAGCACCUCAGUACUUGAGUGAGCUCUUAUCGCAUUAUAGUCCUCCACGUCCACUACGUUCUCAAAACUCUGGCAAUUUGAUAAUACCUAGAAUAUCAAAAUCAACUGCGGGCGGCAGAACCUUUUCCUAUUUAGCACCCAAACUCUGGAACAAUCUACCUAACACUGUUCGGGAGGCAGACCCAUCUCUUUAACCUGGCGUACACAUAACACACUAAUACGCUUCUAAUAUUCAAAUCCAUUAAAGGAUUGUUAGGCUGCAUUAAUUAGGUCAACCAGAACCGGGAACACUUCCCAUAACACCCGAUGUACUUGUUACAUUGUAAGAAGAAUGGCAUCUACGCUAAUAUUAGUCUGUUUCUUUCUUAUUCCGAGAUCAACGUAUCCAUCCGAUUCCAGUCCGUAUCCAGAUCAGAUGGUGGAUCAGCACCUAGAGAUGACCUCUACAGCCCUGAACGUCAGCGGAGAUCAGGACACCUAGAUGAACCCCAGAGACAGAUCCCCAGUGAGGACCUCGUCACCUAGACAGCCAUCGGGAACAAGACCUCGGGAACCAGAUGAGUCCUUUACACAAUCUGACUUUGCUGCAGUUGGAAUUGAACUGCUUGUUCGUCUGGUCAGAGGAGAACUGGCCCCCCCGACUGAGCCUGGUUUUUCCCCAAGGCUUUUUUCUCCAUUCUGUCACUGAUGGAGUUUUGGUUCCUUGCCGCUGUCGGCUCUGGCUUGCUUAGUUGGGGACACUUAAUUUCCAUCUGAUUGCACAGAUACUAUUUAAACUGAACUGAGCUGGACGAUGACAUCAUUGAAUUCAAUAAUGAAAUGCCUUUAACUGAAAAUUGAGUGUUUAAUCUUGUCAUUUUACAUUAUUGACACACUGUUUUCCUGUUUUGAUAUUGGAAAGUUGCUUUGACACAAUCUGUAUUGUUAAAAGUGCUAUAUAAAUAAAGGUGACUUGACUUGACUUCAAA